AGCCGGCCUCCCUGUCUCCCAUUCCCCAUCUCUAUCUCUCCCCAAACAUACAUGCCAUGGACAUAGAAGAACCCAGACUCCUCUAGGAUUGCGGCGGCCACCAUCGGGGGUAGAGCGAGCGGUGCCGCGGCUCCCGUUACUCUCCAUGUCGAACCUCUUCGCGUUGUUCGAUCUUUGUUCCCUCUACGGCCUGGGCGGCGCCAAGGCUGGAGCGUGCGCUAUGCCUGCACGCAGACAACAUGGCCUGAUGCGAUGGUUGCUGGGUGUUGUCCAGUGAGGUCGUUCUUUCGAGCCCAUCUGCGUCGGCAUGCCGCACUGGGUGCGCCUCGGCGCCGAGAACCUCUGGUGCAUCAACCGGCUCACCGGCGGCUGAAACCGCAGCUUGCUGAGCAACUAUCCAAAGGCGCUGCCCGGGCGCUCCCUCUUCGUCGAUCCAUAGACUUCUUUUUUUUUUAGAAUUAGGCCCUCUAGAUUUUGUAUGCUCCGUCUGAUCUUCCCUGCACUUUCGAGGGCACUAUUCCAAUGUUCCUUUCUGAACCUUCUGAGUUCCAAGUAUGUCAUAGAUUACACAUUUGGGCAUACACACGUAUUCUCUGUUCUCCUUUAUGUUUAGACAUGUGGUUACAACUCCAGCUCCCACUCUAUGGUCAAGAGAACAUUAGCUGCUUAACUUCAACUUCUAUUUUUAGCGUAUGCCGACCUGCAACUUUGUUAACAGAGUAGAACUAGAGUGCAAACUUGGUCAUCUUUUUGGUGCCUUUGGGCCACUUUUGCUCAAUGGCGUUACUACUAGAAGGGUAACUUCUCUUUCUAGAUUUGCUUCUUCUUUUUUUUUUAUGUGAUGGGAGGAUCUAUGCACUCUGCAUCGUCUCAUCUCCUUCCCCAUCUAUGUCAGUUCAUGCUUUUGUUUGUUUGAUCAUGCAUGCUUAAUUUCUUGAUUUCUUCAGGAUGCCGAUGCGUGUAAACCGUUGGGCGUUGGCUACUUGGUUUCACUGGCCCCAUCUGAGGCCGGCUAUUAGAUUCACAUAUCAUCAGACAACAUAUACUGAGAAAAGAGCCUGGGACAUUUAUUCAUUUCAGGUCAUGUUCCUUUGAACACUACUUGUAAUUGGUGAAAGCUGGACAAUGAUGAAGACCAUAAGUGUUACCCAAUAUAUAAAUUAUGAAGCAGUGCUGCCAUUGCCCGCAGAAUCUUCUUAUUUGCAAACUUUGAAGGCGUGUACUGUUGACUGAAAUGUUAUUAUAUUGCUGGCAUCCUUCCUUUGUUACACAACAAUACAAG